rnacentral:rRNA from 1 species
CGCCUCUUGAUUUAAAAUAAGAGGUCCAGCCUGCCCAGUGAAUUUUUAACGGCCGCGGUAUCCUAACCGCGCGAAGGUAGCAUAAUCAUUUGUUCUUUAAAUGGGGACUCGUAUCAACGGCAUCACGAGGGUUUUACUGUCUCCUCCUUUUAAUCAGUGAAAUUGAUCUUCCCGUGAAGAAGCGGGAAUGCCUGUAUAAGACGAGAAGACCCCAUGGAGCUUUAAACCAAGUAGUAACUUAACCACAUAACCCCCAAUAAUUUUGAGUUUAUGCUAUAAGGUUUUCGGUUGGGGUGACCGCGGAGUAAAACAUAUCCUCCACGACGAAAAGGCCACAAUCUUUAUUUAAGAAUUACAAUUCUAGAAAUUAGUAUACUAACGUUUACUGACCCGAUAAUCGAUCAACGGACCAAGUUACCCUGGGGAUAACAGCGCAAUCUACUUCAAGAGCCCAUAUCGACAAGUAGGCUUACGACCUCGAUGUUGGAUCAGGGUAUCCCAGUGGUGCAGCCGCUACUAAAGGUUCGUUUGUUCAACGAUUAAAACCCUACG